rnacentral:rRNA from 1 species
AAUCAACGCUGGCGGCGUGCCUAACACAUGCAAGUCGCACGAGAAAGGGGCUUCGGUCCUGAGUAAAGUGGCGCACGGGUGAGUAACACGUGACUUAUCUACCUCUGAGUGGGGAAUAACCUCGGGAAACCGGGGCUAAUACCGCAUAACACUUACGAGUCAAAGCAGCAAUGCGCUUAGAGAGGAGGUCGCGGCAGAUUAGCUAGUUGGUGGGGUAAUGGACUGCCAAGGCGAUGAUCUGUAUCCGGCCUGAGAGGGCGCACGGACACACCGGGACUGAAACCCGGUGCAGACUCCUACGGGAGGCAGCAGUGGGGAAUUUUGCGCAAUGGGGGAAACCCUGACGCAGCAACGCCGCGUGGAGGAUGAAGUCUCUUGGGACGUAAACUCCUUUCGAUAGGGACGAUAAUGACGGUACCUAUAGAAGAAGCCCCGGCUAACUUCGUGCCAGCCGCCGCCGUAACAC